GACGAACGCUGGCGGCGCGCUUAACACAUGCAAGUCGAACGGAAAGGCCUGCUUUCCCUUGUGGAUUGCGGGUACUCGAGUGGCGAACGGGUGAGUAACACGUGAGUGAUCUGCCCCCAACUUGGGUAUAAGCCUGGGAAACUGGGUCUAAUUCCCGAUAGGACUGCAGGGUGGUGCCUGUGGUGGAAAACGAUUUUCUAGUGGUUGGGGAUGAGCUCGCGGCCUAUCAGCUUGUUGGUGGGGUAAUGGCCUACCAAGGCGGCGACGGGUAGCCGGCCUGAGAGGGUGGACGGCCACAUUGGGACUGAGAUACGGCACAGACUCCUACGGGAGGCAGCAGUGGGGAAGAUGGCACAAGGGGCGGAAGCCUGAUGCAGCGACGCCGCGGGGGGGAUGACGGCCUUCGGGUUGUAAACUCCUUUCGACCGCGAGGAAGCCACCUGGUUGGAAGGGUGGUGACGGUAGUGGUAGAAGAAGCACCGGCUAACUACGUG
rnacentral:rRNA from 1 species